AACAAGGAUGUCAGGUACAGAAGAUGCCACAAAUGCUCCCGGCAAUCUGAGAACUGUAUAAAAGGUCACACAAGCGAGGAUGUUUUAAUCACUUCUUGGAUUCUCUUCGGUGAGCCAGGUUCGCCUCCAGCACAGCAAGAUGUCUGACAGCCUUGGCAUGUUUGAAGACCUGUACUACCAGUACCCAACUUGUUGUUGGAGACCCCGCCGCAGAAAGCCAUGUUAUUGUUGUUGCUAUGAUCCAUGCACUGGAGAGCUAGUUUGGCAGGGAUGGUGCUGUUGCCCCUGUUGGGGCGGUAGGGGCAGUUAUGGAAGGCGCUGGCCAUGCUAAAUCCAGCUCGGAUAUCCACGGCACUUGAAGCAACACGGACAUGAAAAGCAAGAUACAGAUUCACGGCCGACCCGACGGACAUGGCUUGGAGCAGUGCUAAGCACUCAGCACCUCCAGCGUGAGGGCUCGGCAUUGCUACAAGACUCCCUCCCCAUACACCUGUCUCCUACGCUUUGCUUUGUUACUCUAGGAACUUUGUAUUCUCCGCACUGUUAUGCAUUAAGACCUCUUCAUGCUGUGCUGUCAUUUUAAAUUAAGCCCCUGCCUCCUUACAGUCCACCUUCAAUCUACUGCAGACCACUUGACACAGCCACAGACGUGUAGAAGAUGUUUGGUGACAACAGGCAAAUAAUCCCAGCUGUGGCCCUUUGGAAAACCUUGGGAAUAUUUGUACUCUCCUCUAUAUCCCUUCUGUGUCUGUAUUCUCAAUUUCUUCUGUGCAUUAAACUUACUCUGCAGCAUAA